UAAGUAGCGGCGAGCGAACGGGAAAGAGGCCAAACCAAGGGGCUUGCUCCUUGGGGUUGCGGGCCGGCAUGCGACAUUGCGAGACUUUAGCAGAAGAGGGAUGGAAAGCCCAGCCAGAGACGGUAAUAGCCCGGUACGCGAAAGAGUCAGACAGUCAGCCGGUACCAGAGUACCGCAGGACACGUGAAAUCCGGUGGGAAGCCGGGAGGACCACCUCCCAAGCCUAAAUACGAUAUGGUGACCGAUAGCGCAUAGUACCGUGAGGGAAAGGUGAAAAGAACCCCGGG
rnacentral:rRNA from 1 species